UGCAGAAAAGUGUCGAAAUAAAUUUAUAAUAUUUCAAUUUCGAAGUUCGAUAAGGCAUCUAAAUUCAUACGUAACCGUUUGAUUAUAAAACGUGUUUAAGUCAGAAAGCAAUUUGCGGUAGUUGAUUAUAUUAAAAAACACAAUGGCAAUCGCUUACAUGCAGCUAUGCUAAUGUGAUUGCAUUCUAUCUUAAGAUUGGCUUUGUUCAACGAUUACGCAUAAUGGCACAAACUUUCAUUAAAUUGUACGAAAAUGUCAUAAAGAAAAUUGAUUACACCCCAAUUUUCGUACCAGUGAUGGACUCGCACGACCUACGCACGUAAAAAUCUCACAACUUGUCGACAAGAGGUUUGUAGCAAGCUUGUCAAGCAAGUCGUAACAAUGCUGUUAUUUUAUCAAGUUGCUACAAGGUUGUUACUCACAACUUGUUGACAAAUUGUUGAAUUGCAGGACGAGAACAAGUUGUUGGAACAACUUGUAACAAGUCUGUUGAGCUCAACAACCUUGUAGCAAGUUGUCAACAAGCUGGGAACAAGCAGUGCGAACACAUCCUGUUGACAAGUUAUUGGAACAACAUUGCUACAAGUCUGCUGCAGGUUUGUUACAACUUGUGCGUUUUUACGUGUGUAUAUUAGUAUUCUUGUUCAGGGCUGCAAAUUACUGUCGGACAUCGGACAAUGUCCGACUAAAUUUGGCAAAUGUCCGAGCAAAAGUAAUUUUGAUCGGACAUUGGUCCGAUCACAAAAAAAAUUGUCACAUUAUACAUUUUUUUGCUGUGACAAAAUCCGAUUGCAAAUUCACUCAAUUUGCAGUUUGCAAUAAAAUUUACGAAGCAUUCUAGCAUUUUACUUAACGUUGCGCCGGAAUGGCUAUACAUACUUGUCUCGUGACUUAUAUAUAUCUUGUG